CCUACGGGUGGCAGCAGUCGAGAAUCAUUCACAAUGGGGGAAACCCUGAUGGUGCGACGCCGCGUGGGGGAAUGAAGGUCUUCGGAUUGUAAACCCCUGUCAUGUGGGAGCAAAUUAAAAAGAUAGUACCACAAGAGGAAGAGACGGCUAACUCUGUGCCAGCAGCCGCGGUAAUACAGCGGUCUCAAGCGUUGUUCGGAAUCACUGGGCGUAAAGCGUGCGUAGGCUGUUUCGUAAGUCGUGUGUGAAAGGCCCGGGCUCAACCCGCGGAGGGCACAUGAUCCUGGGAGACUAGAGUAAUGGAGGGGGAACCGGAAUUCGCGGUGUAGCGGUGAAAUGCGUAGAUAUCGAGAGGAACACUCGUGGCGAAGGCGGGUUCCUGGACAUUAACUGACGCUGAGGCACGAAGGCCAGGGGAGCGAAAGGGAUUAGAUACCCCUGUAGUC
rnacentral:rRNA from 1 species